rnacentral:snoRNA from 1 species
AGACCAUUGUGUGGGCAUCUCCAAAACAAGUCCUUGUACCUCUCCCAUGCCUCAUACAACGACUUAGAGUCUAAUUGUAUGAAAAAAGUGAUAUCAUUCCUCAUCUU